rnacentral:tRNA from 1 species
GGUUCUAGCUCAGUGGUAGAGUGCUUGCCUCAUAUGUGUGAGGCCCUGGGUUUGAUCCUCAGCACCA